AUAAGGCCGUUGUUUUUGAAGAAUUUUUUUAAAAAGGGGUAAAGUUGGGUUGGGGAAAACCCAAACCCAUUAGGGAAUGGAAUGGGUAAUCUUCAUGCACUACUAGGAAUAUGGCCGUUUAAAUCUAUAUUUUUUGCGACCGACUAUUUAGCAGUAGAAAAAAAAAUUAUUGCGAUGAAAAAAAAUUACUGUCGCAAAAGAUAGAUUUAGAUAAUUAUAUUUACUUCAAAACUGCAUAAUUUUGCUUGUGUUCCUAGCUGUAAUUUAUUUUUCCUUUUAUUUCUUUAUUUAUUUCACCUUUCCUUAUACGCAUCCCUAGAUCUUUUUAAGCUCAUAUGGCAACAGAUCUAUAUAGCAUUGUUCUCUUGCCAGCCCGCUCACCAUUGUCAUCUGAAGAUCUCAAGCGGUAUGAAUCUCUCUCUCUCUCUCUCUCUCUCUCUCUCUCUCUAUCUCUAUCUCUAUCUCUCUCUUACCACACACGUAUAUCAUAUAAGGAAGCUCUGGUUCAACUCAUUCCUUUCUCAUCCACGUACAGGUACAAACUGAACUAUCCAAGUCUUAAUUGUUAUCGUUCUUGAUGUAAAUUCUUUAAUAUAUAUAUAUAUAUAUUUUGUUCGUAUUGAUCGAUCUAAAGUUUUUUGUGAAUGGACAUUCGAUUCAUUUCUCGAAAAGGCCUUAUUCUCUGUUACUUUUUCAUGAGAGAGAGAGGGGAUGAUGUAUAUAUAUAUGAAGGUCUGAAAUAUGUGAUUUGAAAUCUUAAUUUUUGAAAAAUGUGUCUGAAUUGGGCCUUGAAAUUGUAUUAUAUUUUGAUGCCAGUUUGUUUUGUGUAACGGCAUAAGCAAUUUUGUUAGCUCGAGUUCCUUUUUUUUUUUUGGUGAAAUUUUCAUUUAGUUUCACCAAUCUAGUUUUUAGUUUUUCGAAUUUUUUUCAAUUUGAAAACUAAACCAGAGAAGAUUUUGAAGUUUUGCAUGAUAAUCAUGUUACUCCUUGAUUUUUGGACGGUUAAAAUUGCCAAUUGUUGAAGAAUGUCUAGUAUUAACUUAAUUGGUUUUGUGAUUAAUUUUUUUAUGUGUUUUUGCUUGAAGAUGCCGAGCAUGAGUUUUGGAUGAUAAUCAUGUUACUCCUUUAUUUUACAAGUAUAUCUUUGAGAUCAAUUAUGCUUGAUGCUACUUAUUAUUUCAUAAAAUUUUAAAAAUAUAUGUUGUAUUUCGAUUCUUCACCAUUGUUAUUCUGCUGGUUGGAUUAAUCUUUUGUAGAAUGGGAGGUUGGCUUUUCAUUAUUAAAUUAAAUGCUCAUGAAAUUUGUGAUUGAAAAUUCUAGUUCUAUUGAAAAAUCCAUUUGAUAAUCUAGAUUUGUCCCGUGAUGAGUGAUUGUCGAUUUAGGUAAUCCAAAUUAAAAAUUAUACAACCAUGAUUAAUGUAUAUAAAAGAGAGAGUAAGAGAAAAUAAAUCCACCAUGACACAAAAUAUUUUUUACAUGGAAAAAUCACAAUUGGAAUCCACCAACUUAUUAUAAAAAAAACCACGGGCCCUCAGUCAGGCGAACAAUCCACUAUAAAAGAAAAGAGUACAAAAGAUAUCUUACAAAGGCUACCCCGGGGACACGCGUUUGCCCAACCUAUAAGUAACACUUCUUUCUUCACUGGAUCUCCGCAAUGGUUGUUGAAUCGCCACGACGCCAAUGAUUUCGGAAUCAACUGAAAUCUACAAUCUUGGAAUCCACCAAGAAGGUUCACAGUUGAAAGGUGUGAAGGGCUUGUGCAGCUUGAUGAUUAGCUUUGAGGUUCUUAGACGCUAAUGAAUCAUCAAGCACAUGAGAGUAUUACAAGUAAUCCUCACUGCAAAGUUCACUCUUUAAACACUUAACAAAAUCUCUUUACAAAAAUGUAUCUUACUCAUAAAAAUGAUCUCUCAAAAGAUAAAAAUACUUAGAAGAGUUUGGGGGAGAGUACUCUGAAACAAGUGUGAGGGAUACAAAAUAAAUCAGCUGAGCACGCCUUAAAUAGGCCUGGGCCAAGGACCAUCAAAGGUGCUCACAUCAUGCUCGCGGCCGUGGUCAUGGGGGUCGCAAGCGUGACCAAUCUUCACGGGAUGCAAACAAAACUUCUGGGAGCUGAUUUGGUCGCGGCUUGGUCGCGGGAGCAAUGGUGAAGUCCGCAGGCGCGAUGAAGCAUGCUAGCCAGCAGCUUUUGCAGACUUUUUGCUGCUGAAAAUCUCCAUGUUUGUUCCACGUUUUUCAGACGAACAACCUCCCUUUUGGGCUGGAAAAGUCAUCAUUCUCGCACAUGCUUGUCUUCAAAGAUUGUUAACAAGAUUAGCCAACAAACCAUCCCUAAAAAUUGACUUCUGAAAUUAAAAAAACAAAACUUUCUCCCAUGCUUGAGCCACAAGGUCAAGCAAAAUCACACAAGCCCAUGAAUCUUCGAGCCACACAAUCUGCAUCUUUCAAUUUACAAAAUCAAGAAGACGAUGCACAUGCUAGAUCACCAAAUUGUCACAAGUUGACAAACAAGAAAAGAAAAAACUAUAGCCGACAAAGAUAAUAAAAAAUCCAAUACAAGAAAAAACAAAGUGAAACAUUGUUUGUCACGGGAUUUGCCAAAACAAGUUGCAAAGCAAUAAACAAUUAGGAUAAAAAUCCUAACAGCGAUAUAUAAUGGCCUAUGACUAAAAAAACAAUAUUUUGUAUGUUAAGUGAUGUCAUCAUUUCUGUUCUUUGAACUGUUCUGUUUGAUUAUGUAUGUUGAAUUCUAAUUGGGAUUGCAAUAAUUGAUCACCAAAGUUUGUUGAUGCUCAUGCUCUGUUUUUUCCCUUCUAUUGCUUCAGAGUUAUACAAUUGAUAAGAGGUAAUUUUAGUUGUUGAUGCUCAUGCUUCGUUUUUUCCCUUCUUGAAUGACACUUGAUAGAUAUAGAGAAAAUAUUUUUUGGAUAAAAAAUUCAUAUCUAAUUUAUAGAAUGUACAACAUGAAAACUAGAAGAAGGUGAAUAUUGGCCUUGGGGUGGGAAAGUAAAUGUGUAUGGCAUGUAGAUGAUUUUGGUUGAAAAAUUCAUAUCUAACGCAUCAAAGUGAACAUUGAUUUUGGUUUUGAUUCUUUUGAGAGUUAUAGUAGAUUGUAGAUAUCUAUCUUAUACUUCAAACGCCACUGGCUUGUGGCACCACUGUUAUUACUUCUUUUUAGUCUAGUACAUAAAUUAAUGUAUUAAAUUGAUAUUCAAUUAUUGAACACAAGAACGAUUGCGUAAAGCAGAGAAUUGUUUCAGUGAAGGGACUAUCUAAUUUUAAUUAAUUAAUUCAUUAAUCAGUUAAUAAUUGGUAAUAGGGGGUUGCUUUGAUGGGUGUGAUUGUAGCAUUGCUCUUGUUUUAUUUCUAGCUCCCUUCUUUUGACUAUCUUAUUUUAUUUUUAUCAGUUUUCUCUGGUCAUAUCAGUGCCGGAUAUCUUCUUGUUCAUUUUCUCUUUUGCUUAUGGUUUAAAUGUUAUUCUUGCAAAUUGCCUAAAAGUUUUACAAUACUAAAGAAAAGAAAAUGUAAGAACACAUCGAUUUUGCUGCCUAAGUUUGUGUGCUACUUAAACUCAAUUUCCAAAGUUUAAACUUUAUAUAUAAGACUGCAUUGCAUGGCUUUUCCUCCCCAAAAUUCUUCUACUGUUGUGGGUUCCCUUUUCCUCUCUCUCCUCAUUCCUUUUGCAUAUGUGUUGUUUAUUAUUUUGCUUUUUAGUUGUACUUAUAUGUUAUUUGUGUUUAUUAGUUUUUAUUGAGCUUUGUGAAAUGUGGUUGAUUAUGAUAUUAUUAUUUUGAGCUUUUAGUCUUCAUAAAUACUCAAUUGCUCAUUUUCUUCAACAAUUUUGUGGUAGCGGCCCAUCCCUAUCAUCAGCAGCCCCUUCAUUUAUUGAUGAGAUCACACAAUGUAUGACACAAGACAUUGAGUCUAGGUUCGCUACAACGAUCGAGAACCUACCGGCACAUGUUUUGUUCUUAGGGUCACAGGGUGUGGUUGGGAGUAAGAGCUCGAGAGAGGUGCCAGAUGCAUCUAGUGGGCAACAAGCUUCAAAAAAAAGAUGAACAAGAAAUGGAAUCACAAACAUUAACUACACAGGGGAGCUGAUACUUUGAUUUGGUUAUGUUUGCUGAUUGAUAGAAUAGUUGGAAACAUGAAGAAAAUGUGUGGGCCAACUUCAGACAUAAUCACUCAUCUUCCAGACAAUGUAAAAGAAACAAUCUUGAUGUCUUUGCCAUUACAAGAUGCGGUGAGGACUAGUAUUUUGUCAAGGAAAUGGAGGUAUAUGUGGGCCAGACUUCCCCAACUUUUAUUUGAUGAUAAGUUCUGCAGAGAAUUGAUCAGAAAUCAGAAGAAUAAACUUGUGAUGACUAUUUAUCAAGUUCUGUUACUCCACCGUAGACCAAUACUCAGGUUCACUCUUUCUUUAUCUGGACUUGAAGGCUGUUCUGAGAUCGACCAGUUGGUACUUUUUGUUUCAAACAAUGGUAUCCAGGAAUUCAACCUUCACAUUCGGAUAGUACAUGGCUGCAGGUGGGGUACCAAAGAGGCUUCCAAUUACUCUGAGCCACCUUAAAAUUAUCGAUUUGUAUGCUAUUUGUUUUGGGGAAGUCAAUGAGGUUUCUAUUGUUCUUUGCUUAAUCAGAAGCUCCCCAAAUUUGGAAAAAAUUAUAAUUGAGGUUUGUACCCAUGAAACUACUGCUAUUGAUCAUGUUCUAGAACUUUUAGAAAUUCAAGACUGGUCAGAUGUCUCUUUAAAUCAACUUCGAGAAGUGGAGAUCCGAAAUCUAUCUGGAACAAGGUUUGAAUUGGAGUUUAUUAAGCUUCUAUUAGCCAAAUCCCCUAUGCUGGAAACAAUGCUUAUUGAGCCUGACUUGGAGAAAGUUGCUGACAAAGGAUUGAGGAUUUUGAAAGAGUUGACAAGAUUUUGGCGCUCCUCACCAAAAGCAAAAAUCACAUACAAUGAUCCAAAUGGAAGUCGCAAUGAAAAUGAACCCCUGAAGAUUAAGUUUAGCAAAUGGUUUGUGUCCUUUUUUACUAGCUUUGGUUUGAGUGACACAGAAAGAUGAUCUUUUUGGUAUUCAUUCUCUGCUAAGUAACAACUGCUAAUGAGAUUCACUAUGGGAAAGUGGAACAUCUAGGGAAAAGAAAAAAACAAUGCUCUCCAUUUUGGAAAAAUGAAUCUUCAACAUUUAAACUUAUGAAAUUUGGUUGAUAUUUUUGGUAA